AUGGCAGAAUGCUUCAAUAAGGUGCUCAAGGGUGUACGUGCAUUACCCGUGACGGCAAUAGUUCAAUACACAUUUGACAAGUUGAAUGAAUACUUUUUAAAGCACUCAAUGGAGACUGAUAAGCAGAUUGCUGGUGAGAACAAGGAUAAGCACAAGUACAAUUUCCCACCAAAGGUCGAAGAAUGGUUGGAAUUUCAAUCACGAAAGGCAGACUCCGAAGAAGCUGUACUAUAUGACGACAACGAGUGGAAGUAUGAGGUGAAAGAGCCCAGAGGAACCACAAACGAUUGCCGCCAACACGGAGGCCGGGCUUUCAAGGUCUCCCUAACACGGUGUGAUUGCAGCUGCAUGAGGCCAUCUUUGCUUCAUCUCCCAUGCUCGCACUUGUUAAAUGCAUCCCGGGUUAGGAAUGUGGACGUUAAUCACCCUCUUACCGUGAGGGAGUCUGAGUUCUCAAUCAUGACGGUAAAGAAUACAUGGACUCCACGGUUCCAGCCAUACUUGGACCAAUCACAAUGGCCGGAGUAUCAUGGAGUUCAACUAUGGCCGGACCCG
rnacentral:rRNA from 1 species